UACGUAGGUGGCAAGCGUUGUCCGGAAUCACUGGGCGUAAAGGGCGCGUAGGCGGCUCAUGAAGGCUGUGGUGAAAGUCCGGGGCUCAACCUCGGAUCGGCCGUGGCGACUCGUGGGCUGGAGCACUGUAGAGGCGGGUGGAAUUCCGGGUGUAGCGGUGGAAUGCGUAGAGAUCCGGAAGAACACCAGUGGCGAAGGCGGCCCGCUGGGCAGUGGCUGACGCUGAGGCGCGACAGCGUGGGGAGCAAACAGG
rnacentral:rRNA from 1 species